rnacentral:rRNA from 1 species
GCUCGUAGUUGGAUUUCGGUGAGCAAGGAGGGGUUCAUCUUGUUUGAUGUAACUGCUAUCUUGUCUCGCGAUUUUUCGGCAGAGGUUUCAAUGGUGUCCUUAAACGGAUGUCUUGGGAUACUGUCGGGUUUACUUUGAAAAAAUUAGAGUGCUCAAAGCAGGCUGUUAAAAGCUUGAAUAUUCGUGCAUGGAAUAAUAAAAUAGGAAGUCGUUUCUAUUUUGUUGGUUUUCGGAAAUCGACUUAAUGAUUAAUAGGGACAGUCGGGGGCAUUAGUAUUCAGACGACAGAGGUGAAAUUCUUGGACCGUCUGAAGACUAACUACUGCGAAAGCAUUUGCCAAGAAUGUUUUCAUUAAUCGAGGGGCGAAAGUUAGAGGUUCGAAGGCGAUCAGAUACCGCCCUAGUUCUAACCAUAAACGAUGCUAUCUAGCGAUCCGCAGUUGUUUAUUAUUACGACUCUGCGGGAAGCUUCCGGGAAACCAAAGAUUUUGAGUUCCGGGGGAAGUAUGGUUGCAAAGCUGAAACUUAAAAGAAUUGACGGAAGGGCACCACCAGGAGUGGAGCCUGCGGCUUAAUUUGACUCAACACGGGAAAUCUCACCAGGCCCGGACACUGGAAGGAUUGACAGAUUGAGAGCUCUUUCUCGAUUCGGUGGGUGGUGGUGCAUGGCCGUUCUUAGUUGGUGGAGUGAUUUGUCUGGUUAAUUCCGAUAACGAACGAGACUCUGUCCUGCUAAAUAGUUUCAAUGUCAUUUUUUUUGCGUUGAAAAUUCUUCUUAGAGGGACUGGUAGCGUCUAGCUACACGAGAUUGAGCAAUAACAGGUCUGUGAUGCCCUUAGAUGUUCUGGGCUGCACGCGCGCUACACUGAAAGGAUCAGCGUGUUUUCCCUGAUCGAGAGAUUCGGGUAACCCGUUGAACCCCUUUCGUGGUAGGGAUCGGGGCUUGCAAUUAUUCCCCGUGAACCAGGAAUUCCCAGUAAGCGUAAGUCAUAAGCUUACGUUGAUUACGUCCCUGCCCUUUGUACACACCGCCCGUCGCUACUACCGAUUGAAUGUUUUAGUGAGGUAUUUGGAUGGAACCUCUGGAGGGCAACCUCUCAGUGCUGUUCUAGAAGA